GGGUACUGACUGCUUAUUGCACCACAUGUGUUUUUCUUUGAAACAAACUUGCUUUGGCGGUGGGCCCAGCCUGCCGCCAGAGGUCUAAACUUACAACCAAUUUUUUAUCAACUUGUCACACCAGAUUAUUACUAAUAGUCAAAACUUUCAACAACGGAUCUCUUGGUUCUCGCAUCGAUGAAGAACGCAGCGAAAUGCGAUACGUAAUAUGAAUUGCAGAUAUUCGUGAAUCAUCGAAUCUUUGAACGCACAUUGCGCCCUCUGGUAUUCCGGAGGGCAUGCCUGUUUGAGCGUCGUUUCUCCCUCAAACCGCUGGGUUUGGUGUUGAGCAAUACGACUUGGGUUUGCUUGAAAGACGGUAGUGGUAAGGCGGGAUCGCUUUGACAAUGGCUUAGGUCUAACCAAAAACAUUGCUUGCGGCGGUAACGUCUACCACGUAUAUCUUCAAACUUUGACCUCAAAUCAGGUAGGACUACCCGCUGAACUUAAGCAUAUCAAAAGCCGGAGGAA
rnacentral:rRNA from 1 species